GGAUGUGAGGGCGAUCUGGCUGCGACAUCUGUCACCCCAUUGAUCGCCAGGGUUGAUUCGGCUGAUCUGGCUGGCUAGGAGGGUGUCCCCUUCCUCCCUCACCGCUCCAUGUGCGUCCCUCCCGAAGCUGCGGAAGCUGCGCGCUCGGUCGAAGAGGACGACCUUCCCCGAUAGAGGAGGACCUUCGGUCAAGGGUAUACGAGUAGCUGCGCUCCCCUGCUAGAACCUCCAAACAAGCUCUCAAGGUCCAAAGGACUUAAAAUCAGCAUACUACAGGGACACAACCACAUCAAUGU
rnacentral:snRNA from 1 species